rnacentral:rRNA from 1 species
GACGAACGCUGGCGGCGUGCCUAAUACAUGCAAGUAGAACGCUGAAGAGAGGAGCUUGCUCUUCUUGGAUGAGUUGCGAACGGGUGAGUAACGCGUAGGUAACCUGCCUUGUAGCGGGGGAUAACUAUUGGAAACGAUAGCUAAUACCGCAUAACAAUGGAUGACACAUGUCAUUUAUUUGAAAGGGGCAAUUGCUCCACUACAAGAUGGACCUGCGUUGUAUUAGCUAGUAGGUGAGGUAAUGGCUCACCUAGGCGACGAUACAUAGCCGACCUGAGAGGGUGAUCGGCCACACUGGGACUGAGACACGGCCCAGACUCCUACGGGAGGCAGCAGUAGGGAAUCUUCGGCAAUGGGGGCAACCCUGACCGAGCAACGCCGCGUGAGUGAAGAAGGUUUUCGGAUCGUAAAGCUCUGUUGUAAGUCAAGAACGGGUGUGAGAGUGGAAAGUUCACACUGUGACGGUAGCUUACCAGAAAGGGACGGCUGACUACGUGCCAGCAGCCGCGGUAAUACGUAGGUCCCGAGCGUUGUCCGGAUUUAUUGGGCGUAAAGCGAGCGCAGGCGGUUUGAUAAGUCUGAAGUUAAAGGCUGUGGCUCAACCAUAGUUCGCUUUGGAAACUGUCAAACUUGAGUGCAGAAGGGGAGAGUGGAAUUCCAUGUGUAGCGGUGAAAUGCGUAGAUAUAUGGAGGAACACCGGUGGCGAAAGCGGCUCUCUGGUCUGUAACUGACGCUGAGGCUCGAAAGCGUGGGGAGCGAACAGGAUUAGAUACCCUGGUAGUCCACGCCGUAAACGAUGAGUGCUAGGUGUUGGAUCCUUUCCGGGAUUCAGUGCCGCAGCUAACGCAUUAAGCACUCCGCCUGGGGAGUACGACCGCAAGGUUGAAACUCAAAGGAACUGACGGGGGCCCGCACAAGCGGUGGAGCAUGUGGUUUAAUUCGAAGCAACGCGAAGAACCUUACCAGGUCUUGACAUCCCGAUGCUAUUUCUAGAGAUAGAAAGUUACUUCGGUACAUUGGUGACAGGUGGUGCAUGGUUGUCGUCAGCUCGUGUCGUGAGAUGUUGGGUUAAGUCCCGCAACGAGCGCAACCCCUAUUGUUAGUUGCCAUCAUUCAGUUGGGCACUCUAGCGAGACUGCCGGUAAUAAACCGGAGGAAGGUGGGGAUGACGUCAAAUCAUCAUGCCCCUUAUGACCUGGGCUACACACGUGCUACAAUGGUUGGUACAACGAGUUGCGAGUCGGUGACGGCGAGCUAAUCUCUUAAAGCCAAUCUCAGUUCGGAUUGUAGGCUGCAACUCGCCUACAUGAAGUCGGAAUCGCUAGUAAUCGCGGAUCAGCACGCCGCGGUGAAUAAGUUCCCGGGCCU